GCAAGCGCAUUUAUUCACCACCAAGGAAGCAGUGUUGCCAAAACCGAAAAUAAUUUCCGCCCAAAAUGUUCAAAAAACCUACCAAAUCUUCAACUAGCCGACCACAAUUUAAAAUUUCUUAAAAAUUUACUCUAAAGAAAAAAAUUUUAUAAACAAUUUCCCAAAGAAAGAAGUUUUGAUAAAAUUUUUUACGCUAUUCUACUAAGAAAAAAAUUGACGAUCAAAUUGAAAAUCUACCAAAAUAGAUUUGAACCGCUCAUCCGACCAAUUCCUAAAAUUUACAAAUCCAUCCGUGCAAAUUUGGUAGAAAAAGCCGAAACGGCAAUACUGGAUGCGUGUGACUUGGCAUCAACGCUACCGUGAAGGGCUGAACAUUGCUGAUCUAUGUGUCUAUGUGAUGUGUUGUGUCAAUGGCUUCGAACGCCAGACGACGGCAGUUUUGUUGCUUGUUAAGGCGAAGAUCAAUUUAUUUUAUAUUUCCCAUUUUCUAUUUCUCUUUCGAGACGAGCUUAUUGAUCAAAGAAUUUUUUCUUUGCAAUGGAAAAGUAAAGCCAGAAGAUACAACAACACCAACCAUAGUGUGACGCGUUUUAAAUUUGGCCUGAUGGCUUUGCAUGACAAAAUGCAAAUUUGUCCGUGAACAUUCCAUUAAGGAACAACUUUUGAUAUCUGUUUCCUUUAACUCCCAAUGCUGGCGACUUUUGAAAGGUAUUCGCCGUGAAAUAUCCUUUAUGAAGUGGUGUCGCCUAACUGCAGACUCGGCAAAAACGGAGGUCCCUUACUGCAGUAUGGGGUCGUAGGAGAGAAGUAACCAUUGGUUCUUAAUGGAAUCUGCAUUAACAAGAUCACAUGUCCAAAGGAACACGACCGAGUCUAUCAGUUAAUUUUAAAGUGCGUCUAUCUUUUUGAUUGGUUGACUGACUGUUCAACGCCCAGCCCAAACGGCUAUAGCUAGAGUCAUGAAAUUUGGCACGAAUGUGGGUCUUUACUUGUUCGUACCUUUUUUUGUUAAUUGAGCUAUAGCUUUGAAUUUUGGAAUUUAGGUAUACUAUGGCAACCUAAAUUAGGAUGCCAAAAGCGUUGUUGGACUUGUAGAAACAAAAAUCUUGAAAAAUAUACGAUAAGUUGUACCAAAUAUGAAA